CCCUUAGAUGUUCUGGGCCGCACGCGCGCUACACUGACGAUGGCAACGAGUUUUUCCUUCGCCGAAAGGUGUGGGUAAUCUUUUGAAACAUCGUCGUGCUGGGGAUAGAUCAUUGCAAUUUUUGAUCUUGAACGAGGAAUUCCUAGUAAGCGCGAGUCAUCAGCUCGCGUUGAUUACGUCCCUGCCCUUUGUACACACCGCCCGUCGCUCCUACCGAUUGAGUGGUCCGGUGAGGCUUUGGGAUCUGAGCAAAGAGAGCGUUUCGCUCGUUUUGCCCGGAAAACUCAGUCGAACCUUAUCAUUUAGAGGAAGGAGAAGUCGUAACA
rnacentral:rRNA from 1 species